ACGAACGCUGGCGGCGUGCUUAACCCAUGCAAGUCGAACGGAAAGGCCCUGCUUUUGUGGGGUGCUCGAGUGGCGAACGGGUGAGUAACACGUGAGUAACCUGCCCUUGACUUUGGGAUGACUUCAGGAAACUGGGGCUAAUACCGGAUAGGAGCUCCUGCUGCAUGGUGGGGGUUGGAAAGUUUCGGCGGUUGGGGAUGGACUCGCGGCUUAUCAGCUUGUUGGUGGGGUAGUGGCUUACCAAGGCUUUGACGGGUAGCCGGCCUGAGAGGGUGACCGGCCACAUUGGGACUGAGAUACGGCCCAGACUCCUACGGGAGGCAGCAGUGGGGAAUAUUGCACAAUGGGCGGAAGCCUGAUGCAGCAACGCCGCGUGCGGGAUGACGGCCUUCGGGUUGUAAACCGCUUUCGCCUGUGACGAAGCGUGAGUGACGGUAAUGGGUAAAGAAGCACCGGCUAACUACGUG
rnacentral:rRNA from 1 species